AAACUCAAAUGAAUUGACGGGGACCCGCACAAGCGGUGGAGCAUGUGGUUUAAUUCGAAGCAACGCGAAGAACCUUACCAAAUCUUGACAUCCUUUGACCGCUCUAGAGAUAGAGUCUUCCCCUUCGGGGGACAAAGUGACAGGUGGUGCAUGGUUGUCGUCAGCUCGUGUCGUGAGAUGUUGGGUUAAGUCCCGCAACGAGCGCAACCCUUAAGCUUAGUUGCCAUCAUUAAGUUGGGCACUCUAGGUUGACUGCCGGUGACAAACCGGAGGAAGGUGGGGAUGACGUCAAAUCAUCAUGCCCCUUAUGAUUUGGGCUACACACGUGCUACAAUGGAUAAUACAAAGGGCAGCGAAUCCGCGAGGCCAAGCAAAUCCCAUAAAAUUAUUCUCAGUUCGGAUUGUAGUCUGCAACUCGACUACAUGAAGCUGGAAUCGCUAGUAAUCGUAGAUCAGCAUGCUACGGUGAAUACGUUCCCGGGUCUUGUACACACCGCCCGUCACACCACGAGAGUUUGUAACACCCGAAGCCGGUGGAGUAACCUUUUAGGAGCUAGCCGUCGAAGGUGGGACAAAUGAUU
rnacentral:rRNA from 1 species